rnacentral:rRNA from 1 species
CCGGCGACCGGCGCACGGUGAGUAACGCGUAUGCAACCUGCCCGGUUUCCAGCGGGAUAACCCGGAGAAAUCCGGCCUAAUACCGCAUGUGGCCGAGGGGAGGCAUCUUCUUUCGGCCAAAGGAGGCGACUCCGGAGACGGAUGGGCAUGCGUGACAUUAGCUUGUUGGCGGGGUAACGACCCACCAAGGCGACGAUGUCUAGGGGUUCUGAGAGGAAGGUCCCCCACACUGGUACUGAGACACGGACCAGACUCCUACGGGAGGCAGCAG